AACGAACGCUGGCGGCAUACCUAACACAUGCAAGUCGAACGAGACCUUCGGGUCUAGUGGCGCACGGGUGCGUAACGCGUGGGAACCUGCCCUUAGGUUCGGAAUAACUCCCCGAAAGGGGUGCUAAUACCGGAUAAUGUCUUCGGACCAAAGAUUUAUCGCCUUUGGAUGGGCCCGCGUUGGAUUAGCUAGUUGGUAGGGUAAAAGCCUACCAAGGCGACGAUCCAUAGCUGGUCUGAGAGGAUGAUCAGCCACACUGGGACUGAGACACGGCCCAGACUCCUACGGGAAGCAGCAGUGGGGAAUAUUGGACAAUGGGCGAAAGCCUGAUCCAGCAAUGCCGCGUGAGUGAUGAAGGCCUUAGGGUUGUAAAGCUCUUUUACCCGGGAUGAUAAUGACAGUACCGGGAGAAUAAGCUCCGGCUAACUCCGUG
rnacentral:rRNA from 1 species